rnacentral:lncRNA from 1 species
AAGGUGUUACAUCAGAACUUGGGGACUGGGGUGUAGAUCAGAGGGUUAGGGUGCUGCUUCAUAUAUGUAAGGUCAUGGGUUCCAUUCCCAGCACCAGAAAAGUAACAAACACACAAACAAAAAAGAUUUUUAAAGAAGAGACAAUGACUCUAGAAUGGAGAAGUAGCAGCUAAUGAAAAUGUUUUUCUUUCUUUUUUUUUUUCUUUUAGUUCAAAAUUCAGCAGUAAAAUUAAAUAUGUUAAUAGCUUAUCAGAACUCAGCGGGCUGAUCCCAAUGGAUUGCAUCCAUAUUCCAGAGAGUAUCAUCAAACUGGAUGAAGAACUGAGAGAAGCAUCAGAAGCAGCUAAUAUUGACCUGAAGCUGAAAGAAAAGGCCUAGUGGGCCACGGCUGGGGGAUGAGGAUGCUUUUUGCUUCGUGGUUCUGCUGAAACAUAUCUACCUGGAAGAGACAGGGCUGAUGUUACUUUUUUCCACUUUGCACUACCUGGUGCCAUUCUAAAUUUCUAAGGGGAAAAACAGGAGGAGAAUUUGUUUACUCUUAACAUGUUUUAUGAAAUUGUGUGUAUUUUCCUAUUUUGCCAAUUAUGUGCCUCAAAGAUUUUAGUUGAACCUUAGCAAGAAAGUAGGAACUUCCAAUUCAGUGUUUUUACCCUUGGUGCAGUGGUAUUUGGUCCCUUAGUCUGGCAUUUACCAAUAAGAGAACUUAAAUCCACUGUUAAGCGUAUGUGGAUUUCUUUCCCUAGUUUAGCUGGAUUUCUCUGUGAUGAACACUUUAGAUUUAAAGUACACAGGGCUCAACUCUCCCC